rnacentral:lncRNA from 1 species
GCUUCUUUGUUCCCAGAGCCUUCCAUGCUUCAGUGGGGCUCUUAUCUCAUUGUAUACUAAGGCUGACUUGAUUUGUCUCACUUCUCAGACUUGGAGCUUCCUUUCUUUUUUUAGAGAGAGAGAGAGAAUGUGCAGCCACGAAAGGGGGAGAUUGGAGGUGGGGAGAGGGAGAGGGAGAGAGAAUCCUAAGCAGGCUCCACGCUCAGUGUGGAGCCUAACGCAGGCUCUGUCUCACGACCCGAGAUAAUGACCUAAGCCAAAAUCAAAAGAGCUGAUGCUCAACCGACUGAGCCACCCAGGUGCCCCAGACUUGGAGCUUUCUUAAGAAGAGGACCCUGUAUUACUCAUCGCUCUUCCCCUGGCAACUCACAUCAUUUGGCAGAAAGAAAGAGACAGGACAACACAGCCCACAGGAAAUUUUCCAUGACAUUAAAGAAGAUCACGAAAGCCGCUCUGCAGCUGGCAUCACAUUCUCCAAGUGUUUCCUGCGUGCAGAGCUGUGGUAGGUGCUGUGGGGACCAGCGGAGUACUGGAAAAGACAGAGCUCCUCUCUCUUCAUCGCUCAUGAGACAAAGCGAGCAGCACCAGUAUAAGAGAAAUGUGGAGGAACACUUCUCUUUACAAAGCAGCCUCAUCGGAAGCACCAGUGAAGACAGCCAAAUGAGAGACGCAGCUCUUUCAGGGAAGAUGAUUAAAAUGUUGUCUCCUAGACCAUUUCAUCUCUUAAUCAUAACUCUCCCUCCCAUGGAGAAGCAUAAAAUCUUGGAAACACAGUAGGAGGUCAUUCUGUUAUUUACCCACUUUGAAAAUGGGGAGAGGGGCGCCUGGGUGGCUCAGACAGUUAAGCGUCCAAUUCUUAAUUUUGGCUCAGGUCAUGAUCUCAGGGUUGUGAGGUCAGGCUCUGAGCUGGGGUGGAGCUUGCUUAAGAUUCUCUCUAUUCCUCUCCUUCUGCUCCUUCUCUCUCUCUCUCUCUCUCUCUCUCUCACUCUCCCCCUCUAAAAAAAAAAGGAGAAAAAAAGAAAAAGAAAAAAAGAAAAAAAUAGGGGAGCUAACUUACCUACUAGACAAGAGGUAAGUACUCAAGGAGAAUUUGGGGUGAUUCAAAGUGACUCUAAUGUAUUUGUCAUAUAACCACUUUCUUUCUGGGUUUGACUCAUUUGCAAUUUCAAUUGGGAUAGUUUGUCACAGACAGAAGAAAACAAGAUUUGUGAUUCAAACGUUUCAAUCUCUAUGCCAACGGGGAUCUAGAGUUUUCAACAUAUUAAUGAGAAAUGGUAGAACUUACCAGAGUGGCUAUAUUCCGAUAGACCUGCUCCAGAAAUUCUGCUGAUGAAUUUCUGAAGCUGAACUACUACUUUGAUUUGUAAUUUACUUUUUUUUUUUUAAGAUUUUAUUUAUUUAUUUAACAGGGAGAGAGACAGCCAGCGAGAGAGGGAACACAAGCAGGGGGAGUGGGAAAGGAAGAAGCAGGCUCUCAGCAAAUCAGGGAGCCCGAUGCGGGGCUCGAUUCCAGGACCCUGGGAUCACGCCCUGAGCCGAAGGCAGACACUUAACGACUGAGCCACCCAGGCGCCCCUGUAAUUUACUUUCUUCUCAGUCUCUAUGUUUUCAUUAUUCUUUCUAUGUAACAAGUCACCCCAAAACUUAGUAGCUUAGGACAGAAAUAUUUCUUAUCUCUACCAUUUCUGUGGGCCAACUGUUUGGGAAGAAGGGCUUGGCUGGGUGGUUCCAACUCUGGGUGCUCAUGCAGGUGCGGAGGAUAGGACAAGCUGGGACUGGAGCCACUGGCUGUCUUCGUGUCAUCCCAGGACUUGCUGGGUGAUCUUUCUGUGUGGGUUAAAUUGGGCCUCCUCCUAGCAUGACUGCCCUGGGGCAGCUGGCUCCUCGCAGGGCCGCUCAGGACUCUGGCAUGAAUAUUCCAGUUCACAAGGUGACAUAGGCUGAGAAGUGACACCGCAUCGCUCCUGCUACCUUCUGGUGCUUACAAGUACGUCACCAGCCUGCCCAUGUUCAGGAUUGAAGGGGGAGUCGCUAGGUCCUCGAGGAGAGUUUGGGAAGGGAGAUAAUGUUGGGGUUGUCCUUGGAGAAUACCAGCUGCCACAGCGCUGAGAGCAGGAUGCAAGAGCAGGCUUAGCCUCGGAGACUGCCAACUUCUUGACGGAAUGAAAAUGCACCUUCUAGCAUUGGUAGUUGGAAACUAAAAAUAAGAAGUCAAGGAGGCCUAGCUAUCAGGUCAUGAAACACUGAAGGGGAAAUACAACUUUUAUUCUGCUUUCUUUUCUUUACUACUGCCAUGUAUUAUUCCAUCAUGAAAAAUAAUGAUCCCAGAUCUUUGUAAUAGCAUCACCAUUUCAAACACUGACAACAGACCUAAAAAAAAAAAAAAGUUGAUUCUGAGAAGUUUUAUCCUGCUGCCUGAAAGAAGAAGCAAAAAAGCAAAAAAAUGGAGACAUCUUAUCUCACAGUCACAGGAGGAAAGUGAGAAAACUGUGCAUAUAUUAUGGGAUACCAUAGAGGGCUGAAACUGGGGCUUGAGUCCUUGGUUUAUGCUUUGUGCUUUGCUAUUUUCAAAAUGUUUUUGUUCUGGUGGGGCUGAUUGGAAAUGUGGCAGAAACCACACAUUCCUGAAUUAUGAAUUAAUAUAAAUCAACUUUCAGAUAUGGGACUCUGUCAGUUGAAAAAUGAAUUAAAAUAGGGGAUUAUGUGUUUCUUUUUCAUCCUAUGUGAGUAUUUCAGCCUCUCCUAGUAAUUGUGUUCAGGAUGACUUGGAACAUAUGAUGCUGUGGAAUUCAGUUCUAGUAAUAGACAACUACCAAUAUACUUCUGAUCUCGAUGCGAGGAAUCAGUAUUUGUCAUCUAUUUCAUUCCAUUCUGAUUUCGAACGUGAGCACGCCUCAUGCGUGCUCAGGAGAAGGCAUACUCUCCCACAACAAAUGGUCCACUUAGAUUGGUUUCUGGCCCCAAUUUGCUUCCAAUGUUAGCAUAGUAUUUACUUUAAAUUUUCAAACCAUGUUUCCAAUAUGGCUUUAAAUUCUCUCCACGGGGCCCCCCCCCCCAUUGAAAGAAGGAAAAUAUCUAAAAUGGGUGCAAAAAUUUGUGGAAGGGGUUGCGCUAGUUUUUCAUCCUGCUUGCUGAACUUUAAGCCCUUCUGCUUUUUAGAAAGAUUCUUGGGCGCAGAUCCAAAGAAAGGCUGCCCUCCAAAUGAGUGAAAUAAGUCCGUCCUUACCUGUGGGAUAAAUGCCUUGGGAAGCAAACACUGCCUGGGUAGCAGGACAGUCCCUAGAGUCUCCCUGCUCCUGCGGCAAAUAACCCCGGAGGGAGAAGCAGACAUCAGAGCUCGUGGAAGCAGAACCAUGCAUCCAAUCAGCAGAGCACUUCACAACUUUCCCACCCUCUUGUAAACAGAGAACCUCGGGGUUUUUCUGCAGUAGUUCUACCUCGGAGUGGAGUAUGGCUGCUUGGAAUUCCACUCUGAGAGUCUGAAUGGUCUCUUAGCGCAGAUGGUUUGUAGGAGCUUUCUUCCUGAAGCCAAUACGGUCAGAAAUUUGCUCCAAAAGAAAGUGAGAAUGUCAACAGCAGCAAUGUCUUCAUUUUAUCUUAUUCAAACCUACUUGUAUGUAAGCCCAGACCAUUUUCUUCCCAGAUCUGCCUACAGUUACAGUUAGACUAUCAAGGCAAAUUGAGAAACAGUUUGUUCUUUUGUCACCAGGGAGUUAGAUAAAUGCAGCUGAACCCCUUAGACAGCUCUCAGGCGUUAUCAAGUACAGUGAACAUCAACGGCAUCUCUGGGUCCAUCGUGGAUUGCAACUGUCUCCAAGUUGAACUCGAAGCUUAUAGUUCAUCAAAUACCACCCACUCAAAGCCAGGAAUCACUUGCUGGGGGUCCACUUCCUCCAAAUACGGCCGUCUUCAUGUAUGCAGGGGAGAAACUGGCUUUCAGUAACUGUUGUUCAAACCUCAAAUGCACGGAAAAUAAGCUAGCUUCAAAACAGCGGAAGAAUGACAAAUUUUAUCUUUGGUGACCAGAUGUUAGGUGCGAACGGAGGACGGCAGUGAAUGGCGUUUGCAGCAGCAUUAAGUGACCAGCCUUCCAGUGAAGAAUGGGAAGUGAUGUAAGGAUGUUUCUGUCUAACUUCAGAAGCUUCAGUCACACAGACAUUCAGGAUGUUUGCAGAUUUCCAGGGAGAACAAGCAAAAUUAGAACACUCGAGUCAAAGAAGCAUCCCAAAUCCGAUGACUCACUUUUCUCUUUCAUUUAAAUAAAAGCUCUGAACACAAAUAUGUGACCUCAAUACAUCUGAAUAUAUGACUAGGAAAAGAAAAUAGGUUCUCAAAGAAGUAACAAAAAAGGUGAGCGGUAAGUAGCAAUUUCUUAAAGAUCUCGGAGUCUAGGCAAAGAUGUUGGUGAUUUAGCCAUUUAGGAUAAUCAUUAAAAGUUUAGCCUCAGGACUUUGCUGUGUUCAACACACUCACUUAGCACUAAGCCUGCCCUUGAACAGGUUAUUUAAGUUUUGUUCAUCUCAGUUUCUUUAUCGUAAAGUGGGAAUAUUAGUAGUGUCUAUCUCCUGGGAAGAUGCUCCUUGGAAGAGUGGAUCAACUAGGAUAAUGUGUACACAGCCCUUAACAAAGUGCCUGGACCACGGUAACUACCCCACAAAAGCUAAGAGCUACGAUGAUGAUGAAAAUAAUAAUGAGCAUCAUUUAGAAAAUAAAUCUUCUUAAGAGCCCAGUACCUAUAACCCUGGAAGAUUCCAUUUAUUCUGCAAAAUAAAAUUUACAGAUUUAAUUUUUAUGUUUUCGUGACUUUAAUACAGCGAUGGGGACUAUACAGACUGGUUUUACCUUUUAAAUUAAUCAGGCUGUGGUGUAAAUGUAUUAAAGUCAGUCAAAAGAUUAACUAUAUAUAAAACCCCAGGCAACAGCUCAAAGUGACAAUCAGAAAAUACUGGAUUGGGGGGCAUCUGAGUGGGUAAGCUUCUGACUCUUGAUUUCAGCUCAGGUCAUAAUCUCCAGGUUGUGAGAUCGAGCCCCGUGUGGGGCUCUGUGCUGGGUGUGGAGUCUGCUUAAGAUUCUUUCUCUUCCUCUCUCUCUGCCCUUCCCCCUGCUUGUGUGCUCCCUCUUAAAAAAAAAAAAAAAUUGGACUGUAAUGCUGCAAUGUCCCUGAACACAAAUCAGGCAUAUCAAAGAUACACAAAUGAAAUAAAGCAUAGGAAUAACCUUUUCUGGUCUUCAAGGCCUUCUGUCCUGAGUGGAGACCCAAGGAUAAAGAAGCCAAGAUACUUCACUGUAAUGCCUCAGAGCCUUAAUUAGCAGAGAAGGGUGCAAUUAUAGCCCAUUUCUUCCUCGGAAGCAGUUCACAUUUGUCCUUUCCGCUGCAUACCCCUUGGUACUAUCCUACCAGGUUCUCAUCCCCUCACCGCCAGAUUCCCAUCAUCAUUUAACUGUUCACCAUAUGUGAGACUAUCUCUUUCAUAACCCUAAUCCUAACCUAACCUUUCCUUUAGGAAGCUUCUGAAGCAAUUAGCACAAGCUUUUUUAACAGCAAGUCUUUCAUCUCAUCCUUCCUUUCAUUUAAGAUUCCUCAUUACCUCAUACAUAAAUCAAAACUAUACUGUUUUUCAAGACUGCAAAGGAAUUUUUCUCUUUCCUUGAAAUCAUUUCGAUAUUGCUGCUUUUUACAUUUUGUUAAAGAAUUAUAUAUUAUAAAAAUGUGAC